UACGGAGGGUGCAAGCGUUAUCCGGAUUCACUGGGUUUAAAGGGUGCGUAGGUGGGCCGGUAAGUCCGUGGUGAAAUCUCUGAGCUUAACUCAGAAACUGCCGUGGAUACUAUCGGUCUUGAAUACCGUGGAGGUGAGCGGAAUAUGUCAUGUAGCGGUGAAAUGCUUAGAUAUGACAUAGAACACCAAUUGCGAAGGCAGCUUACUACGCCUAUAUUGACGCUGAGGCACGAAAGCGUGGGGAUCAAACAGG
rnacentral:rRNA from 1 species